CUCCUUCUCUGCUUGCUGCCAUGUUAUCACCUUCGAAUCUACCACCCUUAGAAUUAAUUAAGAGAUGGGUAAGAGAGCGGAAUGCCAUUGCAAGAGAUGUCCGACAGAGGUACUUAGCCCAUGAAAGGGAGAGAGCUAGAUGGGCCGGCGCAUCCACUUCUCAUGGGGCUCUACCUCCUUUGCCUCCCACGAUCAGUCU
rnacentral:lncRNA from 1 species